ACUACAGAAUCACAGAGGCUGUUGAAGAACAGUAAACCGGGUCAACUGUACGUCAUUGUUUGUGAUGUGGUUAACACAGGAAUUCCGUACAGUGACACCUUCUCUGUAAAGUCGCACUACUGUUUGACGAGGGUAACCAAUAACCAGUGCAGGCUUUGUGUCCACGGCAACAUUUAUUACAAAAAAUCUGUAUGGGGACUUGUCAAAUCUCUCAUAGAGAAAAGUGCAAUUCAAGGACUUCAUGACUUCUGUGUGGACUUGGAGGUUGCCCUCAACAAAGAAGCUGACUUGGUGAAUCAACAAUCAACAAAGAAACCAAGACGGCGGAAACGAGGCAAGCCUGUUGAAUUUUCCAAAGUAGAUUCUCACAAGGAAUUAUCAAGAUCACUACAUACACAAACAUCUGUCAGGAGGUUGAGUAAGUGUUUAAAAUGAAAACUAUAGAUUAAUAUAGUUACACAAGAUCACUACAUACACAAACAUCUGUCAGGAGGUUGAGUAAGUGUUUAAAAUGAAAAACUAUAGGUUAAAAUAGUUACACAAGAUCACUACAUACACAGACAUCUGUCAGGAGGUUGAGUAAGUGUCUAAAAUGAAAACUAGGUUAAAAUAGUUACACAAGAUCACUACAUACACAGACAUCUGACAGGAGGUUGAGUAAGUGUUUAAAAUGAAAACUAGGUUAAAAUAGUUACACAAGAUCACUACAUACACAAACAUCUGUCAGGAGGUUGAGUAAGUGUUUAAAAUGAAAACUAUAGAUUAAUAUAGUUACACAAUAUCACUACAUACACAAACAUCUGACAGGAGGUUGAGUAAGUGUCUAAAAUGAAACUAUAGAUUAAUAUAGUUACACAAGAUCACUACAUACACAUACAUCUGUCAGGAGGUUGAGUAAGUGUUUAAAAUGAAAACUAUAGAUUAAUAUAGUUACACAAGAUCACUACAUACACAGACAUCUGUCAGGAGGUUGAGUAAGUGUUUAAAAUGAAACUAUAGAUUAAUAUAGUUACACAAGAUCACUACAUACACAACAUCUGUCAGG